rnacentral:rRNA from 1 species
GACGAACGCUGGCGGCGUGCUUAACACAUGCAAGUCGAACGGAAAGGCCCUGCUUUUGUGGGGUGCUCGAGUGGCGAACGGGUGAGUAACACGUGAGUAACCUGCCCUUGACUUUGGGAUAACUUCAGGAAACUGGGGCUAAUACCGGAUAGGAGCUCCUGCUGCGUGGUGGGGGUUGGAAAGUUUCGGCGGUUGGGGAUGGACUCGCGGCUUAUCAGCUUGUUGGUGGGGUAGUGGCUUACCAAGGCUUUGACGGGUAGCCGGCCUGAGAGGGUGACCGGCCACAUUGGGACUGAGAUACGGCCCAGACUCCUACGGGAGGCAGCAGUGGGGAAUAAUGCACAAUGGGCGGAAGCCUGAUGCAGCAACGCCGCGUGCGGGAUGACGGCCUUCGGGUUGUAAACCGCUUUCGCCUGUGACGAAGCGUGAGUGACGGUAAUGGGUAAAGAAGCACCGGCUAACUACGUGCCAGCAGCCGCGGUGAUACGUAGGGUGCGAGCGUUGUCCGGAUUUAUUGGGCGUAAAGGGCUCGUAGGUGGUUGAUCGCGUCGGAAGUGUAAUCUUGGGGCUUAACCCUGAGCGUGCUUUCGAUACGGGUUGACUUGAGGAAGGUAGGGGAGAAUGGAAUUCCUGGUGGAGCGGUGGAAUGCGCAGAUAUCAGGAGGAACACCAGUGGCGAAGGCGGUUCUCUGGGCCUUUCCUGACGCUGAGGAGCGAAAGCGUGGGGAGCGAACAGGCUUAGAUACCCUGGUAGUCCACGCUGUAAACGGUGGGUACUAGGUGUGGGGUCCAUUCCACGGGUUCCGUGCCGUAGCUAACGCUUUAAGUACCCCGCCUGGGGAGUACGGCCGCAAGGCUAAAACUCAAAGGAAUUGACGGGGCCCCGCACAAGCGGCGGAGCAUGCGGAUUAAUUCGAUGCAACGCGUAGAACCUUACCUGGGUUUGACAUGGAUCGGGAGCGCUCAGAGAUGGGUGUGCCUCUUUUGGGGUCGGUUCACAGGUGGUGCAUGGCUGUCGUCAGCUCGUGUCGUGAGAUGUUGGGUUAAGUCCCGCAACGAGCGCAACCCUUGUUCACUGUUGCCAGCACGUUAUGGUGGGGACUCAGUGGAGACCGCCGGGGUCAACUCGGAGGAAGGUGGGGAUGACGUCAAGUCAUCAUGCCCCUUAUGUCCAGGGCUUCACGCAUGCUACAAUGGCUGGUACAGAGAGUGGCGAGCCUGUGAGGGUGAGCGAAUCUCGGAAAGCCGGUCUCAGUUCGGAUUGGGGUCUGCAACUCGACCUCAUGAAGUCGGAGUCGCUAGUAAUCGCAGAUCAGCAACGCUGCGGUGAAUACGUUCCCGGG